rnacentral:lncRNA from 1 species
GGCUGCAGUGGGGCCGUCUCGGCGUACAUCUCAUCCGCCGCUAGAAAGCGGAGACGAGCUGCCUCUUUACAGAAGAGUUAAGUGGGCGACGGUGACAGGUUUUACAAAGAAACGACAGACCAGAUUUGCAGAGAACAGCAUAUCCAGGCUGAGGUCACGAACAGCUCAGUUUUUGGAUGGAACCUUAUGAUCUACACGCCCAGAUGAAGUAAUGUGGCUGGUUUUACGGAGGAGGACGUUUAUUGUUUUUUUUUUUUCUUUUUUUUUUUUACAUUGGUAAGUACAUAUUUUGAGUUCCAGACCUGGUGGUCUUCCCACCGCUGGUCAAUGUUUCACUCACAGCUAAAAUGAAUCACUAGCAAUGUGGUCGCAAGGGAGAGGGAGUUAUUUCCGAACAAAUGUAUGGCACACUAAAUAAUACAGCGGCCAGAGGAUUCCCAUCAAGUGGAAACAGGAAGUGAAAAUCCACCUCCCUAACUCUCGGGCUUAAUGUGGUACAUACCAUACCGAAUAUUAAAUUAAAAGCCUCAGUCAUAAAGCACGUAUUCAUCCAAUUUAUCAAUAUGUAUAAAGGAGAAACAGUGAUUUAUAGUGGUGUGUCAGUUCCUGCUGCCACAUAAAAUUAAAUAAUUGCUGAUUAUGGAGAAUUUGUUAAAAUUAUUAUUACUUUUAUCAUGAAUAUGAAUAGAAGCCUGUAACCCCUGCCACGAAAGAAGCGUAAUGAGUCGGCGUACAGGUUUCACAUCAUGUGGCAGGAUACAAUUUUGAAUGUGGUCGCUGCGCUACAUCCUCUGCUAAUGUCAGCAGAAACCUAAACGCAACUCAUUACAGGCAUAAUUGAAUCUGAGAGAGCCUUCCUUUCCCUCCAUCCUAAUGCUUCUGAGAUGGUUAUCCUUCUGAAACCUUCCAUUUGGCAUAUUAAAAUGAAAUUAAUCUCAUAUUAAAGUUACAGUGAUCCAUGGCCAAAGGGUGUGUUGGUUCCAUUUAGAGUUGUUACAGUAUUUUUUUUUUUUUUUUUUUCAGUUUCACGUUCCUGUAUGAAAUCUAAGGGUUUCACGUGGUGGACCCAGCAGAACCGCUCAUGGAGACUGGUUCUUCCAUGUGGACAACAGGUGCCUCUUGUCAUGUGACAAGAAAAAUCAACAAAUCGCA